UCUGAAUAGCAACCGUGCCAACAGGAGAGGCACCUGGAGGGCUGGCGUCAGCAGUGGCACCAAUGGUGCGGCCAGCACCAGCAUGCUCGAUGGCCCCAGCACCAGCUCCACCAUCCGGACCAGAAACGCCGCCAGAACCAGUGCCAGCUUCUUCUCCUGGAUUCAGUAAGAUUGGAGGCAGCGCUGAGGAGCUGCAGCAGCCCCCUGCCGAGCCAGAGUGCCUCCUCUGCCCCCCGCCCCCCGACAGAGCACUCUAGGCAGCUACUCCCCGUCCAUGGAAGAUGGCAUGCCAGAUGACGCGCUCUCUGCCCUUCCUGCUUUCCUGUGUGCUUUUUGUCGUGCUGUCGUGUUUUGGGUAUCAGUAUUGCAUUAAAGUUGCAAAAUCA